AACGCGAAGAACCUUACCCGGCCUUGACAUCUACGGAAUCCUGCAGAGAUGUGGGAGUGCCUUCGGGAACCGUAAGACAGGUGCUGCAUGGCUGUCGUCAGCUCGUGUCGUGAGAUGUUGGGUUAAGUCCCGCAACGAGCGCAACCCUUGUCCUUAGUUGCCAUCAUUAAGUUGGGAACUCUAAGGAGACCGCCGGUGACAAACCGGAGGAAGGUGGGGAUGACGUCAAGUCAUCAUGGCCUUUAUGGCCGGGGCUACACACGUGCUACAAUGGCAGGUACAGAGGGAAGCCAACGCGCGAGCGGGAGCCAAUCCCAGAAAGCCUGUCGUAGUCCGGAUCGGAGUCUGCAACUCGACUCUGUGAAGUCGGAAUCGCUAGUAAUCGCAGAUCAGCAUUGCUGCGGUGAAUACGUUCCCGGGCCUUGUA
rnacentral:rRNA from 1 species